GACGAACCGUGCGAACGUUGUUCGGAAUCACUGGGCUUAAAGGGCGCGUAGGCGGGCAUUCAAGUCAGGGGUGAAAUCCUCCAGCUUAACUGGAGAACUGCCUUUGAUACUGGGUGCCUCGAGUGAGGUAGGGGCGUGCGGAACUGAUGGUGGAGCGGUGAAAUGUGUUGAUAUCAUCAGGAACUCCGGUGGCGAAAGCGGCGCGCUGGACCUUAACUGACGCUGAGGCGCGAAAGCGUGGGGAGCGAACAGG
rnacentral:rRNA from 1 species